GUCGCAGCUAUUCUGGGGAUAUUGUAUGAAAGAUAUUGGUUGUCCAAGUAAGUCUGAAGCAUGUCAUCUAUUCCCAUCUCCCUACCUGCAGUUUUCAAUGGCGUGGGCCUUUUAGGUUGCCUCAGCAAUGAUGGGAAACCCAUAAGUUCUAGGGAGCUGUGAGAUGGUGAAAACUUGUGCACAAAAAGCAAUAGGUAUCUAAGGGACAACACAGACAUGCAAGAGAUACAAAAUGUUCACAAAGCAUUUCCAGAAUUUCAAAAGUUUCCAGUAAGGGCAACGUCUUUUAAGCACCCAUAGAAGACAGUGUUGGCACGGGUGGUUCGGUUGCAUUUCACACUGGGAGGUUCUCAUUUUAGUGGCUGAUAGGUAAUGGAGGACGCCUGUUGUUUACCCACACUUGCAUCAUUGUGCACCUGAAAUAUACAAAAGCAUGUGGAAGCUGCUUUGACCAUCCAUGUAGGGCCAUGACAUACACAAGAACUGAUUAAAAUGAAGGUUUUUGGUCGGCAUCCAUAUACGCAAACCAAAGAUGGAAGAGCUGCAUCUCAAAUAUCCAACUGUGUUCCUACUCAGCAAUGCCAGGGGUUAGAGUAUUUCUCUUGCUGUUUUACAUCCCAGACUUGGUACGAGCAAGCACAGAUGUGUCUUUUGUGCAGGAGAGGGAAGGAAGAGAGAGCCAAAUGAAAAAUCCUGAAUGACAACAUCUCCAAGUAUCACAGCAGUACCUUCUAAAGCUGGAAGAUAAAGCUGAUGAGGUGGUUACCAUGGCUACAGAAGCGGCAUAUUUGAAUGAAAAUUGAUUUUAAGCUUUUAAAUGCUAAUUGCAUCUGUGAACAGGUGACAUUUGAAAUAUCUUUUUCUCCCUCCUCCCUCCCCCCAUAUGUUGCAGAGUAUAAUGAGUGAAAGAAGAGGGUGACAAAGGUGACAACACACUGUUAAAUUAGAACACUGAUACAGUCUUCAACACUAAAGUAU
rnacentral:lncRNA from 1 species